rnacentral:misc_RNA from 1 species
UACGGAGGUGGCAAGCGUUACUCGGAAUUAUUGGGUGUAAAGGGCAAGUAGGCGGUCUGUUAAGUGAGGGGUGAAAUCUUCCGACUCAAUCGGAAAAUUGCCUUUCAAACUAAUAGACUUGAGACUGGAAGAGGGAAACGGAAUUAGCAGUGUAAGGGUGAAAUCUGUAGAUAUUGCUAAGAACACCGGCGGCGAAGGCGGUUUCCUGGUCCAAGUCUGACGCUGAAUUGCGAAAGCUAGGGGAGCGAACAGA